rnacentral:misc_RNA from 1 species
GAUGAAGAACGUAGCGAAAUGCGAUACUUGGUGUGAAUUGCAGAAUCCCGUGAACCAUCGAGUCUUUGAACGCAAGUUGCGCCCGAAGCCAUUAGGCCGAGGGCACGCCUGCCUGGGCGUCACACGUCGUUGCCCCCCCAUCUACUCCUUCGGGAUUGCGGGGGGCGGAUGAUGGCCUCUCGUGCGCCUCGUCGCGCGGUUGGCCUAAAUGCCAAGUCCUCGGCGACGCACGCCACGACAAUCGGUGGUUGCGAAACCUCGGUUGCCUGUCGUGUGCGGUCGUCGCGCAUCGAGGGCUCGAAAAAAUUGCUGGGCUUCGGCUCGACUUUCAACGCGACCCCAGGUCAGGCGGGGUUACCCGCUGAAUUUAAGCAUAUCAAUAAGCGGAGGA